rnacentral:rRNA from 1 species
UGAGUGCACGCCUUUAUACGGUGAAACCGCGAAUGGCUCAUUAAAUCAGCUAUGGUUUAUUGGAUCAUACCCGUUAAAUGGAUAACUGUAAUAACUCUAGAGCUAAUACAUGCCACGAUGCCCUGACCCUNUUGGGAAUGGGUGCACUUAUUAGAUCAGAAGCCAACCGUGUAUGUCCGCAAGGAUGUGCAUGUUGACCUUCUGGUGACUCUGGAUAAUUGUUACAGAUCGCAGUCGGCCUUAAGUCGGCGACGGGUCCUUCAAAUGUCUGCCCUAUCAACUUUCGAUGGUAGGUGACCUGCCUACCAUGGUGAUAACGGGUAACGGGGAAUCAGGGUUCGAUUCCGGAGAGGGAGCCUGAGAAACGGCUACCACUUCCAAGGGAGGCAGCAGGCGCGCAAAUUACCCACUCCCGGUACGGAGGUGGU